rnacentral:rRNA from 1 species
GAUGAACGCUAGCUACAGGCUUAACACAUGCAAGUCGCGGGGCAGCAUGGGGGUUGCUUGCAAUCCCCGAUGGCGACCGGCGCACGGGUGAGUAACGCGUAUCCAACCUGCCCUUCACCACGGGAUAACCCGGCGAAAGUCGGACUAAUACCGUAUGUUGUCCAUUGACGGCAUCCGAUUUGGACGAAAGGUUUGGCGGUGAAGGAUGGGGAUGCGUCCGAUUAGCUGGACGGCGGGGUGACGGCCCACCGUGGCGACGAUCGGUAGGGGUUCUGAGAGGAAGGUCCCCAACACUGGAACGGGGACCCGUUCCAGACUCCUACGGGAGGCAGCAGUGGGGAAUAUUGGUAAAGGGGCGUAGCCUGAACCAGCCAAGUAGCGUGCAGGAUGACGGCCCUAUGGGUUGUAAACUGCUUUUAUGCGGGGAUAAAGUGGCCCACGUGUGGGUUUUUGCAGGUACCGCAUGAAUAAGGACCGGCUAAUUCCGUG